ACAAUUUUUUUUUAAAGCUCUAACCGAUUUACUACCCUCGUUUAACUGUUACUUUUCGCGACAUCUAGGCAUAGUAAUUAAUAUAAAAUUUAUUUUUAAAUAAUUAUUCUACUGUUAUUUCUGCAAAGUAUAAUACGAUAAUUGUACUGGCUAUUUAUUUGCACACUAGAUAUUUUUAGACUACCUAUUUCGCUUUUAAUAUCUUUUUUUAUUUCUAUUUACUAAGCCAAAACAAAUUACAAUCUAAAAAAAAAUACUAUGAUUGAUUAUAUAUUUGUGUUGUAAUACCAACAAUAAAGAACAUAUUUACUGUGCUAUAUUGACGCUUUUGUGUUGUACUUUUCCAAAACAUGGUAGGGAAAGGAAGUGUAAAAUGCUCAAAAUGUGGCAUAAUAUCAAAAGAAGAUUCUUCCUUAACCUUCCAUAGGUUUCCUCUUCCAUCCAAGUAUGGGUCUCUGAAGGCUAAAGUUUGGGCUAAAUUUUGUUUUCCUGAUGGUGAUUGGACAUCAGAUGAAUCAUUAGAAAAGUUGAAUGCACAGCAUAGGAUGCUAUGUGGCCAUCAUUUUGAUGAUUCUUCAUUUACCAGCAGCGACAGGAAAAGACUUAACAAGUUUGCUAUUCCAUCUGGAGCUCAAAGUUUACUUUCCCAAAUAAGAGAUGAACAGUAUAGUCCAUCUAGAGCAAGUCAUGACAUCCAAGGACCAUCAUCAUUAAAAAGUAUUUUGAUGGUUUGAAACUUACACCUUAACAGCGAAAGCUGUAUAAGAGAUGUAGAAAAAAUCUAUCUGAAAUAGAGAUAAAUGAGGCUUUGAAGAAAGUUUAUAGGUGUUAAAAGCAAAUUAAGUAGUUCAUUUUAUUUACUAUUACAAAGUCAACUGAAAAUUAAAUGGGUGGAGAUGGACACUGGAUGAUAUAAUGUUAGCCAUAAGCAUCCAUAAGACAUCAAACUCUUCUUAUAGAUUAUUGAGUAGGUUAUUUUGUUUGUUAACAAAAUUCCUAUGAUAUGUUGAAUCAACAGCCAAGUAAUGCAGACAGUAAAAGAAAUCACAAAAGACCGAGAUGUCAAUGAUAAUUCAUGUAUAUCUAAAUCUCAUCAUAUAUAAAUCUCUUAACUCCGUAUUCCUUUUGGUAAAGGCCUCCAUCUCUCACCGUUGAACUUUGUUUUUUGCAACUCUUGUCUCCUGUUGUUCUUACUUUAUUUUAAAUGACAGUCUUGUCUUCUAUUUUCUCUGCUUCCUGUCUGAUUUUACUGAUGCCUAAUAUGUUCCACUUCAGAUUUUCUAAAGCUAUGACCAGUUCUUGUAAGCUUUCUUUUGUUCUCAGUGUUUUUCUGUUAAAUGUUUAAAAACAGUUCUCAGUGUUAUUGUGUUAAUUGGUUAUGACUGGUGCCAGUCCCAAGUUGACUUAAAUCUUUGUUUUGACCAAUAAUUUGGUGUUUUCUUAUAAGAUUUUGUGUUUAAAGAUACCUUUUUUUUCGUUUUACUUUUAUCUAAAGUUGGAGGAUAGCGGUUGUGUUUCCCCAAAAUGGCUAUCUAUCUUGUUUUGUUUCCUGGUUUGCACGAGUUGUCAUUGUUUUGCUUUGCUUCUUGCAGCUGUGUUAAGUUAGUUGAUUGGUGGUUUAGAGACGAUUCAAUACAGCACACUUCAUUAGGAUUCCAUGCUAUUAUCCCCCACUAACGAAAAGCCAUUUUGUGGGUGUUAAUCUAUAUGUAAAAUUUACUUUAUAUAUAAUUAUAUACAAAUUUACAGAUAAUAUCCAAAAAGUUUUUAAAUGUUAUUAAUCACUAAAGCUAUUAGCUAAAUUAGUGAAGCAAUUUUACAAUAAUCACUAGUUUUCUUUUGUUAUUUCCAACUUUAAAAUUGGAACUACAAACUUGCCAAGGAUUGGACUUGGAGGACAAGGAUGCUUCAAGCAACAUGCCAAUACAUAGUCAAGUUAAUAAAACCUUUUUCUUGUAAUGUUUAGGGAAGUAGAAAAAAUGAAAAAAGUGCCUGUAUUUUGCAAAAGAGUGUAAGAGAUGGGGGAGGUUCUUUUCACCCAUUAAAACUCUAUAUUAAUUUAGUGUCUCUGGUUUUGCCAUUAAGUUGUUUGUGCAUUGAUGUAACUAGCGUGUUAGGGUGAUUCUUAAAUGUGAAUAAUCGAGACUCAUAUUGCAUUGGGUUAUCUCUAGCUGUCUUUGUUAUAUUCGCAUACUGGAAAGGAAGUUAAAUUUCUUCUAACGAAAGGAAAAUAAAUUUGACAAGAUGUUUUUUUAAGUAUUUUUUAAUUUGUUAUUUUCCCAUGUCUGUAUGGAUCUCUGUAAAAUUUACAAAAAAAAUAUAUCCUUUUCCAUUUUUGAGAUAACUAAUGUCCGCUGUGGCGAACACUGACAAUGUUAAUGUUAAUGUUAUAUAGUAGUUAUAAAUAUACAUGUACGGAGAAGCGGCCAGUACUAAUAUGCAGUAAAUAAAAAGUUAUGAAGUAUUUUGUGGACAGAUAUAAUAAAAAAGAAUUUAGUUAUGACUUAUGACAUUUACACAUUUAUUUAGUAUGAAUAUUAAGGAAACAGUUUCUGUCAUUUUUUCGGUAAAUUUCUGCAACGUCCUUCAUCCAUAAUUGACGGUAAAUGACCUACAUCAUCAUAUUUUACAGGACUUGAAGGGUUUGCUGCGUAAGGUUUGUUAAUUUUUGAGUGCUCUCUUUUGAUUGUUUUGGCACUUCAACUGGCCAAAAGUAGGUUUUCAUAUACCUGAUGUCUAAAUACCUUUAGAAUUUUUUUACUUUCAUGCCCAUGCCUCGAUAAACAAGCCAAGCAUUAUUCAGGCAAAUAUCAACUAUUUGUGCAAAAAUACCAAAGUACUUCUACUUUUGGAAGGUACUUUGUACAAUGAUAUCAGUAUGUCUGCAAGAUCUACACCUUCCAUGUGCCUAUUAUACUGACGUACUAUUUGCGGACAUUGUACGUCAAUCUUUUUUCGCGAGCUUUUACAAUAUCUUUGAAUUUUUUGCUUGUCACAAGCUACGCAUGGGCUUAUAAACGUGAUAGCCUUGUUAUCAUUCCACCGAGCUAGGCUGUUAUUCUCGCAUGUCGAUUCUGAUAACGCCCUUCUCUCCAUCUUCUUGAUUUCCUUUCUCCGGGAAUAACUUCAUCAGCUCCUCGAAGACUAUUAUUCCUUAUUGUUCCGAGAGCGAAAAUACCGUAAUUUUCACGGAGAAUAUAGAAGAGCUCUGGCGAAGAGAAGAAAUUACAAUAAACAGUAUCAGGCUUACGAUGAUGCCUCUUCUUUGGUGAAAGAGUGACGCCUAAAAGUAUCUUCGCCUCCAUACAUUAUAAAGUCAUAAAUUGUGCCAGAGACACCAGCCCGCACAUAGUUUUUAAAUCCCCAUUAAUUGGGUUUAUCCUUAAUAUAUCGUUUUCCAGCCUUACCACCUAUGUAUGCUAUCAUCAAUACUAAAUAUUAUAUUAUUUCGUUCUUGUAGCUUUAAACAAUUCUGCCUUACUUUUUCGAGAAUGAGUCUUAUUUUUUAAUACCUCUCACCAUUAUCGUGAUUAUUGUCUACAAGAUGUAAGGAGCGACAAAUUUGCUGAUACCUCUUUAGUGGCAUUAUUUCUGCUACAUUAUUAUACCUGAACUUUUGUGACCAAUAGGCCAGGUAUGACUCGGUAGCAACAAGCUUUUCGUGUUGACAAAUUGUACAUGGUAAAAUUGUGAACAGAUAAUUUUGUCUUAUAGUAUAUGACACUAGCCUGAAGGUAGGGAGCUAAUUUUACUAAUUGAACAUUUUGCGUAAAUACAUGACAUGUUAUUCCUACUAUUGCCAAAUUUUUGUCAGUAUCUUUUUCUUUUCUUGCUUUGUCUUUGCUAUCGCGAUGUAUGUAUUUCCAACUUUAUGACCACAGCAUACAUCGCAUUGAUCUUUUUUGGGAUGAAACAGGCUAAGAUUCUGUUUUAAGGGCCUAUACGGUUGCAAGUUGCUCUAAAAAAGUACAUAAAAAAAAUAUAUUGUGGAGUUGAGUAGUUUAUGUAUCCAUUUUGAAAGAUCGAUACACGCUUUAAAUAACUUCGCUCGAUAGAAAAAAAUCCAAACAUAGCCAAUUUUUGACACUUUGAUUUCCUGGUAUGACGAAAAUGUAUAUAGAACAUGAUUUUGAAAUUUACAUGAUUUUUAUUGCAAGCCAUGUAAUCCAUUUCAGAAAAAAAAAUUGAUAAAAUUACAUUAAUUUAAUGUUAUACGUAACUAAUUGUUAUUACGGGCCGGCCCCCUCAGCGCUCCAACUCUCCAUUGCGUACCGCAGUCCACCCCGAGAAACUGACACAGCAAUGCGUACUGGUACAGGGCCUUAAGAAUACAUUGUCAAAAUCCCUACAACUAACAUUUUAAGGAAUCUAAUUCGCUGAAACUGACGUAUUCUUUGUAUAAUUGUGCCAUGGUUUGAAAUACUGAUUCUAGGUAUUGUCUGGAUGAGCUUGCUCGACAGUAGUGCGAUGGCAUCUUGACCAUCAGAGUUCUUUUUGGAGCAAUCUACGUUCCGAGUAAUCACAGAAUGCGGUGGCAUAGCACAUUCUAUCGUUUUCCAGCAGA